GAUGAACGCUGGCGGCGUGCCUAAUACAUGCAAGUCGAGCGAACAGACGAGGAGCUUGCUCCUCUGACGUUAGCGGCGGACGGGUGAGUAACACGUGGAUAACCUACCUAUAAGACUGGGAUAACUUCGGGAAACCGGAGCUAAUACCGGAUAAUAUAUUGAACCGCAUGGUUCAAUAGUGAAAGACGGUUUUGCUGUCACUUAUAGAUGGAUCCGCGCCGCAUUAGCUAGUUGGUAAGGUAACGGCUUACCAAGGCAACGAUGCGUAGCCGACCUGAGAGGGUGAUCGGCCACACUGGAACUGAGACACGGUCCAGACUCCUACGGGAGGCAGCAGUAGGGAAUCUUCCGCAAUGGGCGAAAGCCUGACGGAGCAACGCCGCGUGAGUGAUGAAGGUCCUCGGAUCGUAAAACUCUGUUAUUAGGGAAGAACAAAUGUGUAAGUAACUAUGCACGUCUUGACGGUACCUAAUCAGAAAGCCACGGCUAACUACGU
rnacentral:rRNA from 1 species